GGCUCACGGGCCCAGCCGCUCCGCGGCAUGCGGGAUGUUCCUGGACUGGGGCACGAACCCGUGUCCCCUGCAUCGGCAAGCGGACUCUCAACCACUGCGCCACCCGGGAAGCCCCUGGGUCAAUUUUUAUUCUGUGAAAAAUGGAAUCCUGCCAACAACCAUGUGACUGAACUUGGAAGCAGACCCUUCCCGGUAGAGCCUUCGGAUGAGGUGACAUCCCUGGCCAGCGCCUUGAUUGCGGGCUUGCGAGAGGCCCUGAAGCAGAAGACCCAGCUAAGCCACGCCUGGAUUCCUGAAAACCAGACUGCUCUCUGCCAGGAUCUCUAGAGCCUCGCAUUGGUCAAUGCCCCUGAAGAGGGCAGAGUCCAGCCUCAGGCCUCUAGCCCACCCUCUUCCUGGGAAGAAAAUGCCUCUGCUCCGAAGGCAGCCAGCACAUAUUUUACUCACAACAGUCGGCAGAUGGCUGUGGAUCCCUUCUGUUCCCAGGAAUCACAUCGGAACUAACCGCGCUGUGCAUUUUCCAUCACUGGUAGCUAUCCCAACGUGACGUGGGACAUCGUUAUUAAUAGGUGAAGGACAAAGAGAGAGGGGAAGUGGCUUGGGCUGAGUCACACAGCAAAGUUAGAACUCUGAUCUCCCAGCAACUACCGUCGCCCUGGGCUCUGUCCCACACACCUGGCAGCUCCAGAGACUUGCUCCUUUUUGUACUCUGGGCAACGAACUCUCUAGCUAACCAAGCGGGUCUGACUUGUCUUACAGAGAAAUGAAGCAAAAUCUUCUUCGGGAUGGUGUAUUAUGAUCUUUCGGUUUCUACUGGUUGGCAAGAAACCGAGUCCCCACUACUUACUGAAUGACCUGGAACACAUCAUCGAAAGUUUCUGGACCCUCAGUUUUCCCUUCAGUAAAAUGUAGACAAGAUUUAUUGGUGCCUACCCCCAGAGAAGCUGGGUGCGCUAGGGAGAGGAAUGGGGUGCCCUUAUCCAGUCUAUUCUGCGUUACCCUUUACACGGGUGAACUUCAAACCUGGCUGAGCAUGGUAAUCACAUGGUGGCCUUUAAAAAUACAAAUUCCUGGGCCUUGCCCAGCCUGGCUUACUUGGAUUUCUUCUCCUUUCUCCCGGCCAAGUGGCCCCCAGGGUGAAGGGAACCCCCUUGAUUUGAGCAUCGGGGUGGUCUUUAACUUUUCUAUGUAAAUCCUCUCCAACUCAGCUUAAAGGAACCUUUGCUACGAGAUAGGAAGCAUUGCGUUCUGUCUCCUUUGAGCUCUCCCUUGGACUCACUGUUCCCCCAAUUUUGGCACUUCUCACAUACUGCUUGUUAUUUUUACUUAACUGUUUCAAAUCUUUGCCUCUUGUUUCCUCAGUUAGCUACUGGAGGGUAAAAACCAUGACCUACCCUUCUCUUAUUGCCCCGCAAAUGCCAGCUCCAUUAGCACCUAGUAUCUCUUCAGUAAAUAUUUGUUGAAUGGCAAAUCUUGUAAUUCGGAAAUCUGAAAUAAUUUCUUAUUUAUUUGGGAGACGCUCUGUGUCCUUUGGAAGCUUUCUGGUCACAUGGAAAGAACUUUAAACAAAGAGGCAAGAGCCCUAGCUUCCAAUCUUGGCUCUGUCACAAACUCCCAUUGUGACCUGCAGCAAGUCGCUCGCCUUCUCUAGCCCUUGGUUCCCUCACUUGUGAAACCGGGGCUGAUCUGUAAAGUUUCUUUUAGCUUUGGAUUUUUUGGCUACUCUAGAUAGCAAGGGCAGCCUUUUUCAUGUCAAUGUCUUUAAUGCCCACCAUGCCUAAUUUUUUUUCCUCUAAGGACUACAUAAUCGAUGGAUCAUCUCCAGUUUAUAAAAUGAGAAACUCAAGUAAAGAACAAGUAAAUGCUUUG